AGGCUUUAGACGAGUACCGAGAAGGAUCUACUGCCUUCACACGCGCUCCUUUUAACUUAAAACACUGCUUUCACCUUAAAAGAGAAACAAGAGGAACACACAAAAGCCCAAAAGAGAAUGACGGAAAGGGAGGGGGUCAUCUCAAGCAGGGUCCGAAUCCUCAGAUGGAACCACAGGCCACUAGGCCAGCACAGGGGCCUCCGGGAGGGUCCACCCUGCUCCACAGCUGCACGGGUGUGUGUGCAUCAGUGAGUGUCCCUGUGUGCAUGCAUGCCAAUAGGUGCACAUGCAUGUGUCCACACAAGGAUGUGUGUGCAUGUGUGUGCGUGAGUGUGCAUACAUGUGUGAGUGUGCAUGUGUACGUGUGUGUGCAUAUGUGUGCAUGAGUGCGUGUGUAAAUGUGUGCAUGUGUGUGCGUGUGCGCAUGAGUGCGAGUGUGCAUGUGCGUAUGUAUAGGUGUGCAUGUGUGCACAAGUGUGUGCAUGUGUGUGUGCAUGUGUGCAUAUGUGUGUGCAUGAGUGUGCGUGUGUGCAUGUGUAUGUGUCAGUGUGCGUGUGUGCAAGUGUGCAUAUGUGCAUGUGUGUGCGUGAGUGGUGCAUGUACACAUGUCUGUCCAUACAUGUGAGCUUGCAUGCAUGUGUUGUGUGUGUACGUGUCUGUACGUUUGUGUGUGUAUGUGUGUGCCUGUGAGUGUGCAGAGAGGCCCUGGCACUCGAGGAGGGCCUGAAGCUCAUAGUAGACUCACCCGGCGGGCCCAGUUGAUGAGGUCAUCCAGCUUGGCCACCACAUACUCGCCCCGGCUGCUGGGUUUGGGAGCCACGGCUCUGGCCUUUGGCAGGGCAGGCUGGGUGCUGGCACAGAGACACAUGGGCACAGGAGGCGUCAGCCACACAGGUGCAUCCCAGAGGCGGAUGCCAGCCCCCACGGCCGCUGCCAGAGGCCUGGACCCACAUGAGCAGGUCAACAGUGUCCAAGCAAGGACAGUCCCAGGAUCAUCCACAGAAGGAAACUGGCACCAGACCCUCCACACAUGACCAAGGAAUCUGCAGUCCGCUGAGCAGGGAGGGCGCUGCCCACGUCAACCUACACAGCAAAGCACCCCUAGAGGAGCCAGCCUCAAAGGAAGCGCAGAGGAGGGAACGCGCCUGCACGAAGGCUCCUAGGAGAGCCUUCUCGAGGCGAAGGCUGAGGCCAGAGCAGGGCCUGCCACACACAGGGGCACUCAGCGGGAGGAAACGCCUGGAGGUGCAAGGAAUCCUGGCUCACAAGGAAGAAGCUAGAAAGGCAGGCUUGGUGCUGGUGAGGGCUGAACUGUGUCCCUCCACCCGACCUGCAUCUGAAGCCCUAACCCCAGGACCUCAGAAUGUGACUGCUUUUGGAGAUGGGGUCUUUAAAGGGAU
rnacentral:antisense_RNA from 1 species